rnacentral:rRNA from 1 species
AACGAACGCUGGCGGCAGGCCUAACACAUGCAAGUCGAGCGAGGACUUCGGUUCUAGCGGCGGCCGAGUGAGUAACGCGGGGGAAUGUGCCCUUCUCUACGGAAUAGCCCUGGGAAACUGGGAGUAAUACCGUAUACGCCCUUCUGGGGAAAGAUUUAUCGGAGAAGGAUCAGCCCGCGUUGGAUUAGGUAGUUGGUGGGGUAAUGGCCUACCAAGCCGACGAUCCAUAGCUGGUGUGAGAGGAUGAGCAGCCACACUGGGACUGAGACACGGCCCAGACUACUACGGGAGGCAGCAGUGGGGAAUCUUAGACAAUGGGGGCAACCCUGAUCUAGCCAUGCCGGGUGAGUGAUGAAGGCCUUAGGGUUGUAAAGCUCUUUCAGCUGGGAAGAUAAUGACGGUACCAGCAGAAGAAGCCCCGGCUAACUCCGUG